UUAAUCCUGAAGUGCUCGUUAAGGAUUUAUAAUUCAACCUACGUAUUGACCUUGGGAACUCGGGUUUCCCCAGCCUAUGUCAAGCCUCCAAUGCGAGGAAGACAGAAGCAGGAACAGAGUACCCCCCUAUCUGAGAUAGGGUGUGAAUUAUAUCCUGACGACAUGUUCGGGAUUUUU
rnacentral:other from 1 species